rnacentral:tRNA from 1 species
GCCGGGGUGGCGGAAUAGGCAGACGCAACGGACUUAAAAUCCGUCGGAGCAAUCCUUGUGGGUUCGAGUCCCACCCUCGGCACCA